AUCAUCACAAUGGCCAGGGUGGCCUCAGCUCAGGGCCUCUGUGACAUCACCAAGGGCCUGGCACCAGGUGCCCAGUCUCCCAGUUGCGAGGGCAAGCAAACCCGUCAUGAGCAACUCCCUUCCCCAUCUCUGCUCACCAUGUGGACACUGAAAUCGUCCCUGGUCCUGCUUCUGUGCCUCACCUGCAGCUAUGCCUUUAUGUUCUCUUCUCUGAGACAGAAAACUAGCGAACCCCAGGGGAAGGUGCAAUACGGAGAGCACUUUCGGAUUCGGCAGAAUCUACCAGAGCACACCCAAGGCUGGCUUGGGAGCAAAUGGCUCUGGCUUUUGUUUGCUGUUGUGCCGUUUGUGAUACUGAAGUGUCAAAGAGACAGUGAGAAGAAUAAGGAGCAGAGUCCUCCUGGCCUUCGAGGCGGCCAACUUCACUCUCCAUUAAAGAAAAAAAGAAAUGCUUCCCCCAACAAAGACUGUGCAUUCAAUAGCUUAAUUGAACUCGAGGUGGAGCUUAUGAAAUUUGUGUCCAAAGUGCGGAAUCUUAAAGGUGCCGUGGCAACAGGCAGUGGCAGUAACCUCAGGCUUCGAAAGUCAGAGAUGCCUGCAGAUCCAUACCAUGUCACGAUCUGUGAAAUAUGGGGAGAAGAAAGCUCUAGCUGAAUGGAUUUGUGUGUCAGGAGAGAAAAAAUGUUUAUUGAUUGGAAUUCUGCUGUAAGAAGAGCUGUUCCUUCGCCGAUGAUUGACGGAUGGAUUUCUGUGUGGACUUACAGAAAACUAGCGAACCCCAGGGGAAGGUGCCGUGUGGAGAGCACUUUCGGAUUCGGCAGAACCUACCAGAGCACACCCAAGGCUGGCUUGGGAGCAAAUGGCUCUGGCUUUUGUUUGCUGUUGUGCCGUUUGUGA